CCCAGGCGCCCCUUCAUGACCUAUCAUCUGCACAGGCCUUGGCACCUAGUAGGUCCUCAGGAAAUCUCACAUGAAUAGACAAAUGAGUGAAAAAUCCCUGACCUGCCUUACAGAGUCAAGACUCGUGUCUGAGUCUUCUCUGUGCUCCAGACAUCACUCAGGCCUCAGCACAGAGUAGGUCCUCAUGAAGUACUGGGUGACUAGUUGAACAUCCCAGCAUCAGCCCUGGAGUCAUUCAGGGUCAGAGACCACACAGUUGGUUCCUUCCUGUACCCCAGACAUCACCCAGCCCAAGCAUCAGCACACAGUAAGUCCUUAGGAGAUAUAAAUUAAUAGGGCAGGGAAAUUAAUGAAUAAGUGAAUAUCCUUCGCAUCAGCCCUGGAUCAGGGAGCAUGCAUCCUGGUUCCUUCCUGUGAUCCAAACUCUCCAGCCCAAGCCUCAUCACAUAGUAGGUCCUUGAGAAGCUCUAGGUGAUUGAAUAAUUGUACAUACCAGCAUCAGCCCUGGAGUCAUUCAGAUUCAGGGAGGACACAGCCCGUUCAUCCCUAUGCCUCAGACAUCUCCCAACUCAGGUGUCAGCACACAGUAGGUCCUCAAGAAAUACUGAGUGAAUGAAUAGUUGAACAACCCCAGCUCCAACCCUAGAGCCGUUCAGAGUCAUGGACCACACAGUCGGACUCCUCCUUCUGACCUUCGCCCAGCUGAGGUGCUCUGCACACAGUAGGUGCUCAGAGAGUGCUGGGUGAAUGGAUGAAUGAGUGGAAUGGGACCCUUGUUAAUAGACAUGGGCCUGAGUUCCGUCACCGCAGAGGGCAGGGGAAACUGACCCUCUUCGACCGGAAGGGCUGCCAGUCGCUGGGCUAAGCGGAGAAUGGGCGGGGCCGUGGGCGGGGCCGGCGUCAGGCCCUGGAGCCCUUCUGCCAAGACCUCAAGGAGAGCGGGCCGGGGGCGGUGCACCCGCGCUGGGGGCUCCCCUCGGAGUGCGCGGGCGCGUCCGCGGGAGCGGGGUCUCCACGUCGAUUUGCGCCUCGCUGGUUCCCACGCUGCUCGGUGUUCGUCUCGCGUGUCGGCCGUUUGGCCGGCUGUGCCCCCCAGCAGACCCGGAGGGUGAGCGUGUGCGCGACGAGGGUCGCAGCCCCGGAGCACAGGGCCGUCUGGGGCCCCUCCUGCUGCAGAAAGUGGCCCACGCGAGCGGUGCCCGGAGUCCACAGCAGUGGAGGAGCUGAGCCCCGGAGGGGCGCUGCGGAAGACACCUGUUUCAGAGCUUUCGAAGUGCCCGAUGAGGACUCAGUUCCUCCAGGAGACCCGGCAGAGGGGGAGGACAGACCAGAACCUCAUGAACCCAUAGUGGUCAGGUGGUGAUACAAGUUAUGCGGACAGUGACCAGCGGAGGGAGGUGCCAUUUGGGGACGGUGGGGGAGGCCUCUCUGAGGAGACGUUGGAGCAGAGCACUGCAGGAGGUGAGGGAGCCACGUCAGCUUCUGGGGGAAGAGCAUUCCGGGCAGAGGUCCAUUCCGGAGGCAGUGCAAAGGUCCGGAGGCAGGCGCAUGAUGGGCUUGUUCAAACAGCAGAAGGCCAGUGCGGAUGCUAUAAAUUAAGCCAAUUUCAUCGCGAACUUUGGUGGUGUAACAUGAAUCAAUAAUUAAUCACCAACGAGCUUAAGCUCAUUUGAAUUGAGCUUCUGUUAUUUGCAACCAAUAAAUCCUAAUGAAUGUAAAAGCUGAGGCUUGUGUUUCUUUUAACGGACUGUUGUUGCUCGUUGGAUGCAAUCGGCUGGCGGGAAGGAUGGGGAGAGACAGAGUGUCCCAUACUUCUCCCAGCCCUGAUUUUUUGGCAAACUCAGGAGAGGCCACUGGAAGUC
rnacentral:lncRNA from 1 species